rnacentral:rRNA from 1 species
GGCAGCAGUGAGGAAUAUUGGUCAAUGGACGCAAGUCUGAACCAGCCAUGCCGCGUGCAGGAUGACGGCUCUAUGAGUUGUAAACUGCUUUUGUACGAGGGUAAACGCAGAUACGUGUAUCUGUCUGAAAGUAUCGUACGAAUAAGGAUCGGCUAACUCCGUGCCAGCAGCCGCGGUAAUACGGAGGAUUCAAGCGUUAUCCGGAUUUAUUGGGUUUAAAGGGUGCGUAGGCGGUCAUAUAAGUUUGAGGUAAAAGGCUAUUGCUUAACGAUGGUAUGCCUUGAAUACUGUAUGACUUGGAUUUGAGCGGAGCAGGCGGAAUGAAUCAAGUAGCGGUGACAUGCAUAGAUAUGAUUCAGAACACCGGUCGCGAAGGCAGCUUGCUAGGGCAAUAUUGACGCUGAUGCACGAAAGCGUGGGUAUCGAACAGGAUUAGAUACCCUGGUAGUCCACGCUGUAAACGAUGAUAACUAGAUGUUGGCGAUAUAAUGUCAGCGUUGGAGCGAAAGAGAUAAGUUAUCCACCUGGGGAGUACGAUCGCAAGGUUGCAACUCAAAUGAAUUGACGGA